GGCGGACGGGUGAGUAACGCGUGGGAAUCUACCCAGUAGUGGGGGACAACUACCGGAAACGGUAGCUAAUACCGCAUACGUCCUAUGGGGGAAAGGCUUCGGCCGCUAUUGGAUGAGCCCGCGUCAGAUUAGCUAGUUGGUAGGGUAAAGGCCUACCAAGGCAACGAUCUGUAGCUGGUCUGAGAGGACGAACAGCCACACUGGGACUGAGACACGGCCCAGACUCCUACGGGAGGCAGCAGUGGGGAAUAUUGGACAAUGGGCGAAAGCCUGAUCCAGCAAUGCCGCGUGUGUGAAGAAGGCCUGCGGGUUGUAAAGCACUUCCAGUUGGGAAGAUGAUGACGUUACCAACAGAAGAAGCACCGGCUAAAUCCGUGCCAGCAGCCGCGGUAAUACGGAUGGUGCGAGCGUUAAUCGGAAUUACUGGGCGUAAAGCGCGC
rnacentral:rRNA from 1 species